GGCAGCAGAGUGCCUGGUGUCCAAGGAAGCAUGUAUAGGGGGUACAUAUGGUGGCAGUUGUAUGCUCAGCAGAAGAAGCACCAGGGAGGUGAAGGUCACGUUGACAGCAUGAACCUUCGAUGUGAUGUGAGGAAAAUGGCAUUCUACCUCUGUGUUCUUCCUCCCCAAAAUUUGUAACCACCAUCUAAUCAUGAGGAAAACAUCAUACAAGUCCAAAUUGAGGAAGAUUCUACAAAAUGCCUGAUUAAUAUUCAUCGAAACUGUCAAGGUCAUCAAAAGCAAGGAAAGUCUGAGAAACUGCCACAGCCUAAAGACAAUCCAGGGAAACGUGAUGACUCAGUGGUAUUCGGGGUGGGUUUCUGGAACAGCAAAAGGACAACAGGUACCCUGAGCCACUAUCUAAAUUGUCUGCUUACCUUAUGAAGACACCAUAAGGAGGUAUAACGUGUGGUGAGCACAGGUGAAGAGCUAGAGGCCUGAAACUAGAUGGGGAGGGAGAAGCCAGCCAUGCCUGCAUCCAGGGCUGCACUCAGCCUCCCAGCAUCUGUGCAGAGGCAUCAGUCAAGCCACAGCUAACUGCAGUCCCAGCUAACAUUAUGUGGAACAUCCCAGUCAUCCCAGAUCAUCCCAGUCAACCAAGAUCAUAAAAUUGUUUUCAGCUAUUAAGUUUAAAUAUGUGAAAUAAGGAGAUAAAAAUACUGACUUGGACUCUGUCUGAAUGAAAGGAUUAGUAGAUUAGAUUAGUGAUUCUUAAAAGACUUUCUUGGAUGCAUAUAAGUGUCCACAAAAUAAGAGUAUGAUGGUUUCCAGGUACAAAUAAGAUGGAAAACUAUUUUGUGAAUCAGAAUUAAAUUGGUUUAUUUACUGUAGAACUUCUAAGAGGCUUUAACAUGUACAUUUAAUUAUCAUAAGCCUUAUGAAAACUCCAGGAGGACAGAAGAGUUGCCUGUGACUUUUUUUAAAGUGUUUAUUCACAUCCCAAGGAAGGAUUCCCAGAAGAGAUGAUGCCUAAGCAGUGUCCCAACCAUGAAAUAAAGUCUCCUAGCUACUGGACAAGAUCAUCUCGAAGCUUAUUUCCAGCUCCAAAUGUUAUUAUUUUCCUCAAACCCAUUAUAAAAUGGCCUCUCUUAGCACUAUGAGAUCUGUAAUACAAGAAGUAGAACAAACACAUGAAGUUCCUGUUGGAAAUUCAAACUUCUCAUACAGCCUUCACUGAGUUCUACUCAUUAUGGAUAAAGGCUUCUGCUUUGAGUCACCUAAGUACUUUUGACCCCCAACUUAAUCAAUGCCUUGAAGUGAAAAUACAGUGUCAGGCAGUCCCUAUUCAUGACACAAACAAACCAACCAACUCAUAUCAUGACUUAAUGGUGUGAGACCUCAGUAAAAACUUUAUAUGAACUAAAUUUGUCUCAUUUGUAUCUUCUCAUACCUGUCACAGAAUUUCCUCUGUCCAAUGACACUGGUCCUUCGAUAGUCUUAGCUGUCUUUUCCUUCUUAAACUAACAAAAAUAAAAGUGAAAGAAACAACAUU
rnacentral:lncRNA from 1 species